rnacentral:lncRNA from 1 species
GUUAGAAGCGCUGGUAGGCCUUGGAGAGGCGGGUUAGGAAGACGCAGGGCCCCUUGGCCUAGCUUCGAUCGUUCGAAUUCAGAGCACGUCCUUCCGAGGUGAAGGAACGCGAAACUCCACCCAUCCGAUUGCUGUUCGGCUGCGGGCGGGUCCUUUGGUCGGGCUGACCCUGGGUGAGCGGCCCGGAGCCAAGACUCGAGAAUUACUACCCGGUGCCAGCCCGGGCUGCUUGGGGUCAUCAGCCUUUCAUUGACCACCCCCACAACAAAAAUCACUAUGAACUUGAGACUGUGUUCUAGCAACUUGUGAAUGUGUAACCCAGUAGAAGGGCUGACUGUGCUUGAAACAGACAAGGAUUUUAAGGUCAAAGAGUGGAGACUGCUGCACGGACUCUGGAACCAUGAACAUAUUUGAUCGAAAGAUCAACUUUGAUGCGCUUUUAAAAUUUUCUCAUAUAACCCCGUCAACGCAGCAGCACCUGAAGAAGGUCUAUGCAAGUUUUGCCCUUUGUAUGUUUGUGGCGGCUGCAGGGG